rnacentral:rRNA from 1 species
GUGAAGAAGUUUGAUGGCAAAACCAGGUGAACGCUGGCAGCAGGCCUAACACAUGCAAGUCGAACGGUAACGAGAACGGCGCUUUGCUGACAGUGGCGGACGGGUGAAAUUAACCUUAAGGAAACUGCCUGAUGGAGAGAGGAUAACUACUGGAAACGGUGGCUAAUACCGCAUAACGUCAAGACCAAGAGGGGACCUUCGGGCCUCUUGCCAUCAAGAUAUUGCCCAGAUGGGGAUUAGCUUGUUUGAGGUAGGUAACGGCUCACCAAGGCGACGAUCUAGCUGGUCUGAGAGGAUGACCAACCACACUGGAACUGAGACACGGUCCGAACUCCACGGGAGGCAGCGGUAGGGGAAUAUUGCACAAUGAGCAAACCUGAUGCAGCCAUGCCGCGUGUAUGAAGAAGGCCUUCAGGUUGUAAAAAAGUACUUUCAGCGGGGAGGAAGGUGUUGUGGUUAACCACAGCAAUUGGCAGGCCACCGCAGAAACACCGAAACGCUCCGUGCCAGCAGCCGCGGUAGCCACGGAGAGGUGCAAGCGUUAAUCAGAAUUACUGGGCGUAAAAGCGCACGCAGAGCGGUCUGUCAGAAGUCGGAUGUGAAAUCCCCGGGCUCAGCCUGGGAACUGCAUUCGAAACUGGCGGGCUUGAGUGAUGUAUGAGGGUAAGAAUUCAGUGUAGCGGUGAAAUGCGUAGGAAUCUGGAGAAUACCGGUAGCGAAAGGCGGCCUGGACGAGCUGGCAGCUCGGAGUUAAGCGUGGGGGAACAGCAGGAUUAGAUACCUGGUAGUCACACCGUAACGAUGUCUACUUGGAGGUUGUGCCCAUGAGGCGUGGCUUCCGGAGCUAACGCGUUAAGUAGACCGCUGGAGUACGGCCGCAAGAGUUAAAACUCAGAAAAUAAUGAAUUGACGAGGGGCCCACACAAGCGGUGGAGCAUGGUUUAAUUCGAUGCAACGCGAAGAACUACACGGUCUUGACAUCACGGAAGUUUUCAGAGAUGAGAAUGUGCCCUUCGGGAACCGUGAGACAGGUGCUACCAUGGCUGUCGUCAGCUCGUGUUGUGAAAUGUUGGGUUAAGUCCACCCAGCAGGCACCCAACCCUUAUCCACUUUGUUGCCAGCGGUGCAGGCCGGGAACUCAAGGGAGCUGCCAGUGAUAAACUGGAGGAAAGGUGGGGAUGACGUCAAGUCAUCACAUGGCCCCACCCUGACGAGGGCUACACACGUGCUACAAUGGCAUACAAGAAGAGCGACACUCGCGAGAGCAAGCGGACCUUCAUAAAGUGCGUCGUAGUCCGGAUUGAGUCUGCAACUCGACUCCAUGAAGUCCGGAAUCGCUAUUAUCGUGGAUCAGAAUGCCACGGUGAAUACGUUCCCGGGCCUUGUACACACCGCCCGUCACACCAUGGGAAGUGAGUUGCAAAAAGAAGUAGGUAGCAACACGGGGAGGGCGCCACCACUUUGUGAUUCAUGACUGGGGUAAGAAGUCGUAACAAAGGUAACCGUAGGGAACCUGCAGUUGAAUCACCUCACUG